UCUAACAACCUCCCAUGAUAAUCAAUGUUUCUCUUUUUAAUGUAUCAUUAAGAACUGUGGAUCUUAAUGUAUUUGCUUCAGUCCAUUGCAGUCAAUAUUCUUUCUGAUGCUCAAUUUGCCCUCGUCUCCUGUAUACUGUUACAAAGGCCCCACUGGUGUCUGAUACUUUCUUGCUUUCUGGUACAAGAUAUUCGAAGCUUAUCUUGUCCAUUCCGGGCUUCAGACCUGAAGUCAGCCAUUUUCCCAAGGAGAACUAAUUCUUUUUACUGAAAACCAUUUAUCUCCCCUGAUUUUUGCUCCUCUUAGUAGUUAUAUUAUUUUUACCUUGGUCUUAAGCCUUUCACCUUAAGUGUUUGUUUCUUUUAAAUCCUUCUCAUCAGGCUGUGUCUAAGACCGUCAUUUUCUCCCUCUAAUAAAAUAGCUGGUGACGACCAUCCGCUCCGUCUGUAUCUCCUGCCAGAGCCUUGGCUCUGACUUUUUCUGAGCUUUGGCCUCCGUGAUCUUUUCUGCGGUGCUCUCCACCUUCUUCAGCUCCUGGAAAUCUGUUCAUUUCCAGCAGCCAGAGCGCUCACCGAUGUGCCACGUUGUUCCCCAAAGCCCAGCCGUGAUUCUCAGGCUUUGGACUGGCUUCUCUCCCCGACCUCUUCCCCAUCCACCCUUCCCUCGGGCAGGGUCCCUGACCUGGCUGGUGAGGCUAGAGAGACUGGCCGAACUGCUGCUGGCUCUGCUGACAUCCUCUCAUUUCCAUCUGCGUCACUACCCGGAAAAUUCCCUCUCCAAGAGGAACAAGGUAGCCCAUCGCCCUGUCCAGGGUGAAGCGCGUUACCUGGGACUUCAUCCCUCCUCUGCCGGAAAGGAAAAUGAGAUGCAGAGAAGAGAAGCAAAGUUGCCUGAGAUCAUCCUUUAAGUGGAGGAGCCAAGAUUUGAACCCGAGAAAGCAGGCUCCAUAUGAAAAGGUCUACCUCUUCUGCUGUAUCUUCUCUCUCAAUAAAAUAUGUAUUUCCUGAUUGCAGUCUUC